rnacentral:misc_RNA from 1 species
GACCCGAUCACCGAAAAAGACAAGGCGAUGGUACCGUACCACAUCGUGUCCGGCGACAAUGGUGACGCCUGGGUCGAGGUCAAGGGCAAGAAAUACAGCCCAAGUCAGAUCAGCGCCUUUAUCCUCACCAAGAUGAAGGAGACCGCAGAGGCCAAUCUCGGCAGCAAGGUGACGCAGGCCGUGAUCACCGUGCCGGCCUAUUUCAACGACGCACAGCGCCAGGCGACGAAGGAUGCCGGCCGCAUCGCCGGACUUGAAGUGCUGCGCAUCAUCAACGA